AAAUAAGUUUUAUUAAAUGGUAGAAAUGUAUUUUUAUCCUAUGGUUAACUAAUCUAGACUUAGGGUUUAGAGUUAAGGGGUGAGGUUUUGGGGAAUAGCUUCAAAUUUUUUAAAAAUAAAAAAUAAAUAUUAAAAAUUUCAAAAUAAAAAGGGGCUAUUUUGGUCAUUUUCUUUCUUGAGUGAUAUUUUGUGACAAAAACUUAAAAAUAGCUAUUUGAGAGAAUUGUCCUAUAAUGUUUCUUAGUAAUUGGGUUUGGACCAACAUUUUUUUCAAUUGAUUUUUAAGCUACCACGUAAGCUAAAUUGUCAUUAUAAUUAAAUAAACAUGGUCUCUUUUUAAUUAGUAUAAACUUAAGGUUAUAGAUCGUCAAUUAAUAUUUAUGGUUUACCCUAUAUAUUAAUUGAGGAAUAUUUGAAAAUGUGUAACCUCAAUUUUGUAAUAAUUAAAAAUUACCCCUUGUUUAUGUCUCAAUCAAUUAGGUAGUUAAUUAGUCCUACGUGUCAGCCUCAUAAUGAAAUUGAAAAACAUGUUGGUCCAAUUCGAUUUGUAUAUCUCACUAGAAACAUUUAAUAUCAACUAUAUGAUAUCAUAUGAUGUUAACUAAAGCAAGAUGGCUAUUUAGUAUAUAUUAUUUCGUUAAAUAAAACCUAC
rnacentral:lncRNA from 1 species